UACGGAAGGGGCAAGCGUUGCUUGGAAUCAUUGGGCGUAAAGGGCGCGUAGGCGGUCUUGUUUGUCUGCUGUGAAAGUCCACGGCUCACCCGUGGAGAGUCGGUGGAAACGGCAAGACUUGAGGCUGGGAGGGGUUGGUGGAAUUCCCUGUGUAGCGGUGAAAUGCGUAGAUACGGGGGAGAACACUCGUGGCGAAGGCGGCCAGCUGGGCCGGGUCCGACGCUGAGGCGCGAAAGCGUGGGGAGCAAACAGG
rnacentral:rRNA from 1 species